rnacentral:ncRNA from 1 species
UAAACAAAAGGUUUGGUCCUAGCCUUAUUGCUAAUUUAUUAGACCCUCACAUGCAAGUCUUGGCUACCCUGUGAGAAUGCCCUCCAGAACUACUAACAAAAGACAAGAGGAGCUGCUAUCAGACACACUAGUAGUAGCCAAUUACACCUUGCUCAGCCACACCCCCACAGGAAACAGCAGGGAUUAGAAUUAAGCUAUAAACGAACGUUUGACUAAAUUAUAAUUAUUUUUCAGGGUUGGUAAAUUUCAUGCCAGCCACCGCGGUCAUACGAUUAACCCAAAUUAAUAACUCUCCAGAGUAAAGCGUCUUUAAGCAAAAUAGUCAAAUAAAGUUAGUACUGAACUAAAUUGUAACACAUUCUAGUUAAUACUAAAAUAAAUCAUUAAAAUAACUUUAAUAAAGCUGAUAAACAGCAACUAAGACACAAACUGGGAUCAGAUACCCCACUAUGCUUAGUUGUAAACUCAAAUAGUGAAAUAACAAGGCUAUUCGCCAGAGAACUACUAGCCAUUGCUUAAAACUCAAAGGGGCUGGCGGUGCCCUAAACCCACCUAGAGGAGCCUGUUCUAUAAUUGGUAAACCUCGAUAGACCCAACCCUGUCUUGCCAAUACAGCCUACAUUCCGCCAUUGUCAGCCCACCUUAAAAAAGAUAAACAGUAAGCAAAACUAUUUCUCCAUAAAAACGUGAGGUCAAGGUGUAGCACAUGAGAGGGAGAGAAAUGGGCUACAUUCUCUAAAAUAGAGAAUAAUGAAUCACAUUAGGAAACAUUAGGAAGUGCUUGAAGGAGGAUUUAGUAGUAAAUUAAGAAUAGAGUGCUUAAUUGAAUUAGGCGAUAGGGUGCGCACACACCGCCGUCAACCUCCUCAAUUUAAUUUAUUAAUAUAUCUAAUAAUCUAUUUGAAAGAUUUAAAGAGGAGAAAAGUCAUAACACGGUUAAGUGUGCUGGAAAGUGCACUUGGAAGAUCAAAAUG